rnacentral:lncRNA from 1 species
CUCUUCAUGACAUUGACAUCUAUCACUUAAUUUUCCAGUUGAUCUAGGAAUUGAAAAAAAAAAACCAUAAAAGAUACUGAAUCCUAAUAUUAACUGAGGCAAGGUGAUCCUAUAUUCCCAUAUUUAUUUAUUAUCAUGGAAGAGGUGUUGACUAGGCUAGUGAGAAAAAAAAUCAUAGAUGGCUACAUAGGUGUUUAUUCACAUCCCUGAGGUGCACCUUCGGUGUUGCAUUUGCUAUAUGCUAAUGAUAUUGUAAUCUUUGCUAAUGGAAGCAAAAGAUUGAUAAAAUCUUUAAUGGAGACCUUUCAGUUAUAUGAAAAAUGGAUGGGCCAGGUUACAAUAAAGAGAAGUUAGCUAUUUUCUUUGCUAAACAUUGUGGGGCAUCUCACAAGAAUGAGGUUCUUCGGUUAAGUUCUUACAGAGAGGGUUUUUUUCUAAUAACUUAUUUGGGGUGACAGUGGUGGUAGAAAGAUUGACUGCUCGUCAUCUAUAGCUUUUAGUGGAGAAAAUUCAAAAAAAAAAAAGAUUACAGGUUGGAAAAGGUAAC